rnacentral:rRNA from 1 species
AGUGAACGCUGGCGGUAGGCCUAACACAUGCAAGUCGAACGGCAGCACAGUAAGAGCUUGCUCUUACGGGUGGCGAGUGGCGGACGGGUGAGGAAUACAUCGGAAUCUACUUUUUCGUGGGGGAUAACGUAGGGAAACUUACGCUAAUACCGCAUACGACCUACGGGUGAAAGCAGGGGAUCUUCGGCCCUUGCGCGAUUGAAUGAGCCGAUGUCGGAUUAGCUAGUUGGCGGGGUAAAGGCCCACCAAGGCGACGAUCCGUAGCUGGUCUGAGAGGAUGAUCAGCCACACUGGAACUGAGACACGGUCCAGACUCCUACGGGAGGCAGCAGUGGGGAAUAUUGGACAAUGGGCGCAAGCCUGAUCCAGCCAUACCGCGUGGGUGAAGAAGGCCUUCGGGUUGUAAAGCCCUUUUGUUGGGAAAGAAAAGCAGCAGGUUAAUACCCCGCUGUUCUGACGGUACCAAAAGAAUAAGCACCGGCUAACUUCGUG